AGCCUAUUUAGGAUUCUCUCUCUCCCUACCAACCUCUCUUUCUCUCUCUCUCUCUCUCUCUCUCUCUCUCACAAGAAAAAAAAUAUUUUUUAAAAAGAAGGGAACUGUCUACAAACCAGGAAGCAGGCUCUCAUCAGGUACCAAAUCGGCCAGCACGUUGAUCUUGGACUUCCCAGCCUCCGUUACCGUGAGAAGCAAAUGUCUGUUGUUUAAGCACCUGGUCUGUGAUAUUUGCCACAGCAGUCUGAAUUGACCAAAACACCUGGUCUACUACGUUCUGGUGAGAUCUUGGGGUAACUGCUGAUCCAGCUUCAGCGACAAGCUCUUGCCUUACUGGAAAUGCAUUAUCAAAUUGCUCUCAGGAUGAGCUGCUGUUCUGCUUGACCUUUGCUUCUGGUUCUCCCUUUACAACACUCCAGACUCACCGGUGGCUCCCCAGGAAACCCUCUGCAUCAUGAAAAUAAGUCACGUGCAGAGAAGAGCAAAGAGGCACCUUCAUAUUAAUUGCAAUGCACCUCGAAGUACAUCAUGGGGUCUCUGAGAUAUGCAGGAGUGGUGGAGGAAACCGAGAGCAAUUCUCAAAAGGAAUCGAACGUUGACGUGCUGAAAAAUUAAGUAAUCUCUCAAACAUCACACGUAGCUGUGAAGUUUCUGAGCCAGGAUUCCAACCCAAAAGAGCUGCCUGAUUUGAAAGAUUGUCCUUUUCACCACUUUUGAAGAUGGAUGCAAUGAAGCUAGACCAAGAAAAGAGUUGCUGAAGACAACAUGGGUUUGUGAGCCCAGCAAAUGAGAAAAUCCGUAUCAGCUAAAUCCAUUUACUAGUUUACUGUUGACUUAGUAGUGGGGGAUAGAAAAAAAAAAAAAAGCCUUGCUAAAGGUGGUAAUAGAGGAAUUCUUUCUAGGCUGCCCUCACAAGAAUUAUCAAUCCUGCCACUAUUUGUCACAAGAGAUUGGAUUCCCCUCUUUAAAGCCAAAAAUGGUUACUGCCCAGUGCUCCAUUCUCUUCAAGAUGCUUGCAAAUUCAUUCACAAAGGAGACCCGCGUUCAAAGGAAGAGUAAGGAAAAGGUUGUUUAAAGCAUUUGUGAGCAAAGGCACCACAUGAAAGAAAAUGCCUCUGCUCAGAGAGUGAGGAGGCCAUAUUUGGGAUCAGGAAUGAUUUUAAAAGGAGUAGGAAAACACCGCCAUAGUGUGAUUUAAGGAUCGAGAAAUGCGUGAGUUAAUUUAGCCUAGAGAUAGGAGACCAAAAAGACAAAUACCCUCCCCAUAUUACUCUUAGUCUGAUGCACACCAUAUUGUGGAAGAAAGGCAAGAGCGAUGUACCAGAUGGCAUAUAUUUAAAUCUCGGUUCCACCACUAACUGUGCCCUGCUCUCUGAAACACAAUUAGCUUAAUGGUCAAAUGAGGGCGAUACACUUACCUUCUCAGGUUUCGUGAGGAUUAUUAAAUGAGAUAACAGAUAAGCAAAGCACUUAGGUCAAUGCCUGGCCCCAGUAAGCGUCAGGUAAGUGGUGUGGCCGAUGAUAACAAUAGCAAUUAGAAAGCAAUGACAACAGCAAUUGCUCAGAAGCACCACAACUAGAUGGUGAUCAUGUCAACACUGGGGACAAAACACGUGGUUUAGACAUGCAAGUGGUAAUACUACGGGGCACAGGGACACACAAUUAAGUCCAAGAACACUUUGGGUAAACAAGGCUGACUGCUUCCUGUGGAAGGGUUGAUAUCUUGAAGACCUCACAUUAUUCUAGAAUAAUCCUAAAAAAAAAAAGAUGCUGGGCAUUUAUGUUUUAUCAGUCCAAAGUGGUGGCUCCUACCCCUACCACUUAUCAAUAGCAUAAACAGCUUGCGAUGGACUUGACCACCAAAUAUAAAAUUCUGUGUUUCAUGCUAAAAUUUUUACAAUGGGUUUGGGUUCACAUUAUUUUCACCUGGACUCAUAAAGUGAAGUAAUAUUAACUUCUGUCACAAAAUCUCACAUAUGCAUAUUUUCAGAUCUCAUAAAAUGUGACGGUUCCCAGGCAGGCCAAAUUCUGAAGUCUGGCAUCUCAACUGAGUAGACAUAGUUGUCUCUCUAUCAAAAGCCAUCCCAACACCCAACCCCACUCCUGCAGAACACACCUAUAUCUGGGAAGCUGAUGCCCCAUGAGGUCACAUUUCUCAGCUACCUUGGACAAGCCAUAGCCUGUGACAAAUUCUGUCCUACAGAAUCUUAGUGACGUUGCCUCCUCCACACUCUUAUCCCUUCCUCAGACUGGAUGCAAAGGAUAGUCUGGCCUUCAGGGAUGGCAAACCAUCAGAGGGAAGGAGUGUGGAUCCCUGCCUCUCAGUGCAUGAAGAGAAGCCACCACUGACUGAUAGGAACAUGAGUGAGAAAUUAAGUUUUAUCGUGUUUGAGACAUUAUACAUCUUUAGGUCUUUUCUUUCUUUCUUUCUUUCUUUCUUUCUUUCUUUCUUUCUUUCUUUCUUUCUAACAAUAGUUCAAGAGAACAAUAGUUCUCUUAGGAGGAAAGCUACACAAAAGAGUUGAGUCCAUAGGACCAGUAGGGACACUUAAGCAACCAAUGAAAUCUAGAUACAUGUAAUUGCACACCUUUAGGAGAAUGUUUAGAAAUUGAACAACUGGCCUCCACUACAAUGUCCAGCCAGUAUACCUG